AGUGAACGCUGGCGAUAGGCCUAACACAUGCAAGUCGAACGGCAGCACAGUAAGAGCUUGCUCUUACGGGUGGCGAGUGGCGGACGGGUGAGGAAUACAUCGGAAUCUACUUUUUCGUGGGGGAUAACGUAGGGAAACUUACGCUAAUACCGCAUACGACCUACGGGUGAAAGCAGGGGAUCUUCGGACCUUGCGCGAUUGAAUGAGCCGAUGUCGGAUUAGCUAGUUGGCGGGGUAAAGGCCCACCAAGGCGACGAUCCGUAGCUGGUCUGAGAGGAUGAUCAGCCACACUGGAACUGAGACACGGUCCAGACUCCUACGGGAGGCAGCAGUGGGGAAUAUUGGACAAAGGGCGCAAGCCUGAUCCAGCCAUACCGCGUGGGUGAAGAAGGCCUUCGGGUUGUAAAGCCCUUUUGUUGGGAAAGAAAAGCAGCAGAUUAAUACCCCGCUGUUCUGACGGUACCCAAAGAAUAAGCACCGGCUAACUUCGUG
rnacentral:rRNA from 1 species